UCUCUGGUGAUCCAGUGUUUAAGACUCUGUGCUUCCAACACAGCGGGUGCAGGUUCAAUCCCUGGUCGGGGAA
rnacentral:tRNA from 1 species